ACUAUAGUCAUUUAAUGUGUGGUUGGGAAAUGGGAAAUGGGAAAUGGGAAAUGGGAAAGUCCAUUUUUCUUCUUCUUCUUUCUUCUUAGCCAGGGCUCCAUUUUCUUUUUCCAACUCUCUACUACUUACUAUCAGAUCUGAAAAGAAGGAACCUUGCGACAAGAAAGAGUUGGAACCUCGGGUUUCUUCCUGCACCUUUUGUUUAUGUAUGUAUGUAUAUAUAUAUAUAUAUAGUGUUAGGGUUUGACGGGGUCUCUUCCAUAAACCUUUGAUAAGAGUUGCUGCCUACCACCACCUGCUUGUCCAUUGCUGUUUGUUUGGGUUCAUCAAGCUUUGCUUUGAGGGUGCUCAGGCCGGGGAUUUUUCUGUUUUCACCGGUUACUUUCUGUACGCGUCGUCUUGCAUCCAAAGAUAUUACUCCACACAAUGAGAGCAAUCAAGGAUUGUUAGUACUAUCUUUCUUUGGAGUAAAUUUACAAGGUUGAAGCGGCACGCUUGUGUGAUAGGCGGAAUCGGUUUCGGAUGAUGGAG